rnacentral:rRNA from 1 species
AACGAACGCUGGCGGCAGGCUUAACACAUGCAAGUCGAACGCCCCGCAAGGGGAGUGGCAGACGGGUGAGUAACGCGUGGGAAUCUACCCAUCUCUGCGGAAUAGCUCCGGGAAACUGGAAUUAAUACCGCAUACGCCCUACGGGGGAAAGAUUUAUCGGGGAUGGAUGAGCCCGCGUUGGAUUAGCUAGUUGGUGGGGUAAAGGCCUACCAAGGCGACGAUCCAUAGCUGGUCUGAGAGGAUGAUCAGCCACAUUGGGACUGAGACACGGCCCAAACUCCUACGGGAGGCAGCAGUGGGGAAUAUUGGACAAUGGGCGCGAGCCUGAUCCAGCCAUGCCGCGUGAGUGAUGAAGGCCUUAGGGUUGUAAAGCUCUUUCACCGGUGAAGAUAAUGACGGUAACCGGAGAAGAAGCCCCGGCCAACUUCGUGCCAGCAGCAGCCGCAG